AGGAGGUGCAUGGCCGUCGUCAGUUCGUACUGUGAAGCAUCCUGUUAAGUCAGGCAACGAGCGAGACCCGUGCCCACUGUUGCCAGCAUGUCCUUCGGGAUGAUGGGUACUCUGUGGGGACCGCCGAUGCUAAAUCGGAGGAAGGUGCGGGCUACGGUAGGUCAGUAUGCCCCGAAUCUCCCGGGCUACACGCGGGCUACAAUGACUGGGACAAUGGGCUCCUACCCCGAAAGGGGAUGGUAAUCUCAUAAACCCAGCCUUAGUUCGGAUCGAGGGCUGUAACCCGCCCUCGUGAAGCUGGAAUCCGUAGUAAUCGCGUUUCAAAUAGCACGGUGAAUAUGUCCCUGCUCCUU
rnacentral:rRNA from 1 species